AGUGAACGCUGGCGGUAGGCCUAACACAUGCAAGUCGAACGGCAGCACAGUAAGAGCUUGCUCUUACGGGUGGCGAGUGGCGGACGGGUGAGGAAUACAUCGGAAUCUACUUUUUCGUGGGGGAUAACGUAGGGAAACUUACGCUAAUACCGCAUACGACCUACGGGUGAAAGCAGGGGAUCUUCGGACCUUGCGCGAUUGAAUGAGCCGAUGUCGGAUUAGCUAGUUGGCGGGGUAAAGGCCCACCAAGGCGACGAUCCGUAGCUGGUCUGAGAGGAUGAUCAGCCACACUGGAACUGAGACACGGUCCAGACUCCUACGGGAGGCAGCAGUGGGGAAUAUUGGACAAUGGGCGCAAGCCUGAUCCAGCCAUACCGCGUGUGUGAAGAAGGCCUUCGGGUUGUAAAGCCCUUUUGUUGGUAAAGAAAAGCAGCAGGUUAAUACCCCGCUGUUCUGACGGUACCCAAAGAAUAAGCACCGGCUAACUUCGUG
rnacentral:rRNA from 1 species